GGUGGCUCAGUGGUAGAGCGCUUGCCUUGUAUGCAUGAGGCCCUGGGUUCAAGUUCCCAGCACCA
rnacentral:tRNA from 1 species